rnacentral:rRNA from 1 species
GAUGAACGCUGGCGGCGUGCCUAAUACAUGCAAGUCGAGCGAACAGAUAAGGAGCUUGCUCCUUUGACGUUAGCGGCGGACGGGUGAGUAACACGUGGGUAACCUACCUAUAGGACUGGAAUAACUCCGGGAAACCGGGGCUAAUGCCGGAUAACAUUUAGAACCGCAUGGUUCUAAAGUGAAAGAUGGUUUUGCUAUCACUUAUAGAUGGACCCGCGCCGUAUUAGCUAGUUGGUAAGGUAACGGCUUACCAAGGCAACGAUACGUAGCCGACCUGAGAGGGUGAUCGGCCACACUGGAACUGAGACACGGUCCAGACUCCUACGGGAGGCAGCAGUAGGGAAUCUUCCGCAAUGGGCGAAAGCCUGACGGAGCAACGCCGCGUGAGUGAUGAAGGUCUUCGGAUCGUAAAACUCUGUUAUUAGGGAAGAACAAAUGUGUAAGUAACUGUGCACGUCUUGACGGUACCUAAGCAGAAAGCCACGGCUAACUACGU